rnacentral:rRNA from 1 species
AGUGGCGGACGGGUGAGUAACGCGUGAGAAUCUGCCUUGGGGUCGGGGACAACCACUGGAAACGGUGGCUAAUACCGGAUAAGCCGAUUGGUGAAAGAUUUAUUGCCCGAAGAGGAGCUCGCGUCUGAUUAGCUAGUUGGUGAGGUAAGAGCUCACCAAGGCAGCGAUCAGUAGCUGGUCUGAGAGGACGAUCAGCCACACUGGGACUGAGACACGGCCCAGACUCCUACGGGAGGCAGCAGUGGGGAAUUUUCCGCAAUGGGCGAAAGCCUGACGGAGCAAGACCGCGUGAGGGAUGAAGGCUCUUGGGUUGUAAACCUCUUUUCUCAGGGAAGAAGCUCUGACGGUACCUGAGGAAUCAGCCUCGGCUAACUCCGUGCCAGCAGUCGCGGUAAUACGGAGGAGGCAAGCGUUAUCCGGAAUUAUUGGGCGUAAAGCGUCCGCAGGUGGCGAUUCAAGUCUGCUGUCAAAGCACGGGGCUUAACUCCGUAAAGGCAGUGGAAACUGAAUAGCUAGAGUGCCGUAGGGGUAGAGGGAAUUCCCGGUGUAGCGGUGAAAUGCGUAGAGAUCGGGAAGAACAUCGGUGGCGAAAGCGCUCUACUGGACGGCAACUGACACUCAGGGACGAAAGCUAGGGGAGCGAAUGGGAUUAGAUACCCC